UAGUCUGAUGUUUGAUAGAUUUUCUUUGAGGACACGUUUUCCUCAGCGCUGUACUGAUAUCUCUGUGUGGUUUAAUGUGUGUUUUAGAGGACAUUGGUAAUGAGAGAGGAUCUUCAUUAGAGGAUUCAGACUCACACCAGACUGGAUGGAACAACUGGAUUAUUUUACCUGUUGUGAUUGUAAUCAUCAUCAUCAUCUGUGUGUCUGUGUACUGCUGCUGUGUGAAAGGUCUCAGAUGUGACAGAAACUCCACUGAACAGAAUGAAAAUGUUCAUCGUGACACUGAGCUGCAUGACAUAAGGGCCAGAACAGAUCUGGACAGUGUGACGUACACACCAGUCGCCACACAGCCACAGAGUUAAUGACCAACACAAGAUGGUCUGCUCUGAUCUCAUCAUGGAUUUCAGAUCAUCUUAAACUUCAUCCCUGCACCACUGAGCUGAUGUUCAUCUCUGGAGCUUCAUCACCAUGUCAGGAUCUUCUGAUUUACUGCAGAACUCUCAGAUCACACAUCAUGGACCAUCAGUUACUCUUCUAUCUAACCUGACUUGGUCUUGGUCAUGUGAUGUUACACUAAAUAAUGAACUGAGAACAGCAGGAAUUUUUACUUUUAUAUUUUUAUUUGUUGUUUUAUUUUGAUGUGUUUUGUUGUGUUUACAUUGCAACAGUGGAUACAGUAUGUACAAUGGCUGAUGUCAUGUGUAGGAACUUUAUAACUGAGGAGGAAUCUGGGUUCAGCUUCUCUGUAAUAUAAAUUAAUAUAAUGUACUGCUACUGAAGUUUUAUUACAGGGGAGUUUCUUUUUACUAAAUCUUUACUUUUUUAAAAUUUAAUAAUAAGAAAUAAUAGUAUGCGUGCAUGAGUGUGUGUGUGUGUAUGUGUGUGAGUGUGUGUACUGCAUAGGAGAUAUGUGCUAGUGGCUAACAGAUUUAUAAGAUGAAGCAUUUAUUUUUGUCACAUCACCAUUACAGCAAAGUAUAUUUCUUCAUAUACUUUAUUUUGUCCCAUAACUUUGUUUGGGUUCAGCCAAUACCAUGGUAUUCUCUAAACAAACUACUUAUAGAGUGAUGCCUCACUGCCACAGACUACUGAAUCAUUCUAUCAGACCAACACCACUUUGGGGUGUUUUACAGGAGCAGGUCAGGAAACCUCCACAAAAAUAAAUUGGCCACUGUUCUGAUGGAGAAAUGGCUCAAAGUCCCUCUGGCCACUGUGCAGGACUUGUAUCUGUCAUUCAUUGUUGUGAAUUAGACGUUUUUUCCUUUUUCCUUUAUACUACAUUUCCCACAAUCCUCUGCAGACUGCAUCACUGUUUUUCAGUGCACUUCAUUGCCCAUAAUUCUCAGCUGAGGUUCCUUUCUUUUUUCUUUUGUGCACUCAACCAUGUGUGUUUGAAUCUUUUACAUUAGAUGUAGUAUGUAAGUUUUCUAUUGUAUUGUUUACGUGAAUCUGAUGGGUUGUAUACUUGUCAUUAGUAGGUUUACAGAUAUUAUGUGUGCAUGAUUUCCAUCUUUAUUAUUAUUUGUGAGCCUGAUUUCUUUGUUGUAUUAUUGUAGUGACCAGAACACCAUCUUUAUCAUCCUGUGUAUCCUAAACAUUCCACUUAUCCUGUGAAACCUGUGUACUGUGCAUCCAGUUUUAUUGUCAACAAGAAUAAAUGAGAGCAA